UACGUAGGGCGCAAGCGUUGUCCGGAAUUAUUGGGCGUAAAGAGCUCGUAGGCGGCCUGUUGCGUCCGCUGUGAAAUCCCGGGGCUCAACCCCGGGCCUGCAGUGGAUACGGGCUGGCUGGAGGCAGGCAGGGGAGAACGGAAUUCCUGGUGUAGCGGUGAAAUGCGCAGAGUAUCAGGAGGAACACCGGUGGCGAAGGCGGUUCUCUGGGCCUGUUCUGACGCUGAGGAGCGAAAGCGUGGGGAGCGAACAGG
rnacentral:rRNA from 1 species